CAAGUCCUGCUUCUCCUCUUUUCCUACUGUAUACAUAUAAAACCAUAAAAAGGCCUCCGUCUCCCUGCCACUUCCUCCCCUCACAUCACACACAACCCCUCUCUCUCUCGCUUCUUGUUCACUUUCUCUCUCUAAAAGCUUGAAGCACAAGCAUACAAAAUUGAUAUACAUAUAUUAUAUAUAUUUAUAUACAUAUAUGGUUUGAUGUGUAUGCAUAGGCUUUGGGUUUGAACUUUGAAGGCUUUGAGCUCUGUGAGUUGAUCAGUAAUGGCGACGGCGCCAGUGAAGCCACCGCUGCACAACUUCCCUCUCGCAUUCUUGAAAUGGGGGGCGAAGAACAACUCGACCACCAACAACAACCACCGCUACCGCCGACCCGUCUCCGCCGAACCCGCCUCCGAGCCCGACUCCGAAUCCGAACGCACCCACUACAACAACAGCCGGGUCGGAUCCUCCCGCGCCUCCCGCCACCGCUACUCCUUGAUCCCGUGCGCUGGCGACAAGCGUCGCAGGAGCGAGGAGAGAGAGAGCGAUCAGGAGGAGGGCGAGGAAGCUGACAAAGCCGAGGUAGUUCACAAGCCCUGGAAUCUGAGGCCCAGGAGAGCUCCGGCGACGACGUCGUUUUCCAAGGGAGGUGCCAACGGUGAACCGCACGAACUGGAGAGUCCGAACCCGAACCAGAGCGAGCUGCAGCAGCCGAAGUCGAUGAGGUUGAGGGGUUUGGCGGCGGAGGGGCAGAAUGUGGAGAAGAAAGAGAACAGGAAGUUCUGGAUCGCUUUGUCAAAGGAGGAGAUUGAAGAGGACAUAUUUGUGAUGACUGGGUCGAGGCCUGCCAGAAGGCCCAAGAAGCGGCCGAAGAAUGUUCAGAAACAGCUCGAUAUUACUUUUCCUGGGUUGUGGUUGGUGGGUGUUACUGCGGAUGCUUACAAGGUUGCUGAUUCUCCUUCUAAGAGGUAGAUUUGUAUUGUGCCCAGAAGAUUGUGACUUUGUUGAAAGUUCGUCAAUGGAAAAGGCAGCUGCCCCUGCGGCUUGGAACUCUCAAUUCUGAGGAUGGAAGUCAGCCUAGCUGCUUCUUGAAGUAUCAAGAAAUUGGUACAAAAACUUGUCUGAGUGUGAGAGGUUUCAGAUCAUAACAAUUCAUCAAACCUUCAGAAUCAAAUGUUUUCCUUUGCUGAUUUUCUUUAUGGCCGAAGCCUCCUGGGUGUUUGUGGAUUGUUUCAAUAGCUGAAGAAAAUGUUUAUAUUUCUGUGGCAGCUAAGCUUGCCUUCAUUUAGAAGGUAAUAUGAUCAAGGGAAAUGGAAAAGGUAAACAGGUAGCAAUAUUAUGCAAUCUUAAGCAUUGUGCUGCGUAAUGUUUGAGUUGUUGGCUAGAACUCUGUACUGGAACAACAUGAUUUGUUCUACAAGGACGACAAAAGUUCUUGAAACUCCCACAAUCUUGGAUAACCUGUUUUCUUCUUUUUCUAAUUUGGGGAUCGAAAUUAAAUAGCAAUGGUUCACUGAAGUCAUUUUUUGUUGAUAUCAGAAACUAAACUAAACUGAUGCUGCAAUUUAGAGUCUGCAUUUUUUUUGUCACCUUAAUAAUCCUAUCUGGUUUUGAUCCAAUCUUGAGGCCAUUUGAAGAUUGCAGGGCCAAUUGGUGCUGAGUUCUGACUUUUUUUUUUUUGGUAUAUUCAUGAGUAAACUUGUGAUUAGAAGCAGACUUGUUUCGAAUCUAAAGCUCAUUCAGGACAUUACCCCCAAAAAAAGAAAACAAAAGAAGGAAUCCUUUUGGUAUUUUGAAUUUUGGACACGUGGCAGCAGAUGGCUUCAGUUUCUUCUGUUCCUAGUGAUGGUGAAGUCCA